rnacentral:rRNA from 1 species
GGGAACGUGCCUUUUGGUUCGGAAUAGCUCCUGGAAACGGGUGGUAAUGCCGAAUGUGCCCUUUGGGGGAAAGAUUUAUCGCCAUUAGAGCGGCCCGCGUCUGAUUAGCUAGUUGGUGAGGUAAAGGCUCACCAAGGCGACGAUCAGUAGCUGGUCUGAGAGGAUGACCAGCCACAUUGGGACUGAGACACGGCCCAAACUCCUACGGGAGGCAGCAGUGGGGAAUCUUGCGCAAUGGGCGAAAGCCUGACGCAGCCAUGCCGCGUGAAUGAUGAAGGUCUUAGGAUUGUAAAAUUCUUUCACCGGGGACGAUAAUGACGGUACCCGGAGAAGAAGCCCCGGCUAACUUCGUGCCAGCAGCCGCGGUAAUACGAAGGGGGCUAGCGUUGCUCGGAAUUACUGGGCGUAAAGGGAGCGUAGGCGGACAUUUAAGUCAGGGGUGAAAUCCCAGAGCUCAACUCUGGAACUGCCUUUGAUACUGGGUGUCUUGAGUGUGAUAGAGGUAAGUGGAACUCCGAGU